GAACGAACGCUGGCGGCAGGCCUAACACAUGCAAGUCGAACGAGAUCUUCGGAUCUAGUGGCGGACGGUGAGUAACGCGUGGGAACGUGCCCUUCUCUACGGAAUAGUCCUGGGAAACCUGGGUUUAAUACCGUAGUACGCCCUUCGGGGAAAGAAAUUUCGGGAAGGAUCGGCCCGCGUUGGAUUAGGUAGUUGGUAGGGGUAAGUGGCCGUACCAAGCCGACGAUCCAUAGCUGGUUUGAGAGAUGAUCAGCCACACUGGACUGAGACACGGCCCAGACUCCUACGGGAGCAGCAGUGGGGAAUCUUAGACAAUGGGGCAACCCUGAUCUAGCCAUGCCGCGUGAGUGACGAAGGCCCUAGGGUCGUAAAGCUCUUUCGCCAGGGAUGAUAAUGACAGUA
rnacentral:rRNA from 1 species